UGCUUCUGCUACAUAAAUAUGGGCUGUUUUUGACAAUACAAUGUACAUAUAUCGGGUACUAGCAUCAUAAAGACAUGGUUUUAAAUUACUGAAAUCUUCAAAACUUUUGCAUUUUUGUUAAAUUUUAGACGGUUUCCGUCUUAAAUGAAAGUGGCCGCAUUUGUGUUCAUUCUUAAUAUUGAAAUGUAAGUUGUAUUUGAUGAUAA
rnacentral:lncRNA from 1 species